CUCCCACUACGUUUGCAUACACGCGUACCGUUCAUUUGCAUUCGUUUAAACAUUACUGUAAUCCUAUGGAACAAGCGCAGCUUAGUGGAGCUUGACAGAGCUAGGAGGCGGGUAUAGGGGGAAGGCCCCUUGUGGGAGUGGAGUUAGAGUGUAAAAGGGAUUGGCCCAGUAUAAAUAGGCAGCCAUUUUAGAAGCAGGCACUUUUAAUCUGUUUACCUAGCCUAAAGUUGUCCAUUUGUUAGCUCCUGUUUGGUCACAGUGGCGGGGCUAGAGAGAGAAAAGUUAGGGGACAAACAGGCUCUGGGGUAGUGUAAAUAGAAUAGGGCAGUUAGGCUGUUGGUAAAGAGCUUGGUUAAACGGUUCGUUAUGAACUUUGGUAGAUUUCGAGCUCGGUGGUGGCUCAGAACAUGGUGUGUGGUAGGGGUAUCCGGGUAUGCCCCUAACCGUGGUUAUUUAACAAAGUUUG